AUGCCCCGGAUCCCGGAAGUGCCUGGCUUCCCGGAAGUGCCCUACUGGCUGACAGAGCCAAGGCUCGCUGGAGCGCUGCCGGUGGAGGGUUGCUGUUCUGGGGCGUGGGUGGCUGCAGGACGUGCGGCUCGGGUCGGGGUGGGCGCCGGGAGGGAGCUGGGCGGCAGGAUGAUGGAGGAGGAGGAACUGGAGUUCGUGGAGGAGCUGGAAGCCGUGCUCCAGCUCACGCCCGACGUGCAGCUCGCCAUCGAACAGGUAUUUCCAAGCCAGGAUCCUCUAGAUCGAGCAGAUUUCAAUGCUGUGGAGUAUAUCAACACCCUGUUCCCAACAGAGCAAUCUCUGGCAAACAUCGAUGAAGUAGUGAACAAAAUUAGACUGAAAAUAAGGAGACUGGAUGACAACAUUCGAACUGUCGUAAGAGGUCAAACAAAUGUGGGGCAGGAUGGCCGGCAAGCACUUGAAGAGGCCCAGAAAGCGAUUCAGCAACUCUUUGGAAAAAUCAAAGAUAUCAAGGACAAAGCAGAAAAAUCGGAGCAAAUGGUGAAGGAAAUCACCCGCGACAUCAAGCAGUUAGAUCACGCCAAACGCCACCUGACCACCUCGAUCACGACGCUGAACCACCUGCACAUGCUGGCGGGCGGCGUUGAUUCCCUCGAAGCCAUGACCAGGAGAAGGCAGUAUGGAGAAGUUGCUAAUCUUCUUCAGGGCGUAAUGAAUGUUCUGGAGCACUUCCACAAAUAUAUGGGAAUUCCACAGAUCCGGCAGCUUUCUGAAAGAGUGAAGGCCGCCCAGACCGAGUUAGGACAGCAAAUCCUGGCCGAUUUCGAAGAAGCAUUUCCUUCCCAGGGUACCAAGAGGCCAGGAGGACCCAGCAAUGUCCUACGAGAUGCUUGUCUGAUUGCUAAUAUUUUGGACCCCAGAAUCAAACAGGAAAUCAUCAAAAAGUUUAUUAAACAACAUCUGUCAGAAUAUCUAGUACUUUUUCAAGAAAACCAAGAUGUUGCCUGGCUGGACAAGAUUGACCGGCGCUAUGCCUGGAUCAAGCGCCAGCUUGUGGACUAUGAGGAGAAAUACGGCCGGAUGUUCCCACGUGAGUGGUACAUGGCGGAGAGGAUUGCAGUAGAAUUUUGCCACAUCACAAGGACAGAACUGGCCAAGAUCAUGCGUACCAGAGCUAAGGAAAUUGAAGUGAAAUUGCUUCUCUUUGCUAUUCAAAGAACGACUAACUUUGAGGGGUUUCUUGCAAAACGCUUCUCCGGGUGUACCCUGACAGAUGGAACUCUGAAAAAACUUGAGUCUCCACCCGCAUCCACCAAUCCCUUCCUGGAAGAUGAGCCAGCACCAGAGAUGGAGGAACUGGCGAUGGAAAAAGGAGACGUAGAGCAACCAAAGAAGCCUAAAGCCCCAGACAAUCCAUUUCACGGCAUUGUUUCCAAGUGUUUUGAGCCUCAUCUCUACGUGUAUAUUGAGUCCCAGGACAAAAACCUUGGGGAGCUGAUAGAUCGGUUUGUGGCCGAUUUCAAAGCCCAGGGGCCCCCUAAGCCCAACACGGACGAGGGGGGCGCCGUGCUCCCCAGCUGUGCCGACCUCUUUGUCUACUACAAGAAGUGCAUGGUGCAGUGCUCGCAGCUCAGUACCGGGGAGCCGAUGAUCGCCCUGACCACUAUUUUCCAGAAGUACCUCCGAGAGUACGCCUGGAAAAUCCUCUCUGGCAACCUGCCCAAAACCACAAGCAGCGGCGGUGGGUUGACCAUCAGCAGCCUCCUCAAGGAAAAGGAGGGCUCAGAAGUGGCCAAGUUCACCCUGGAGGAGCUCUGCCUCAUCUGCAGCAUCCUGAGCACUGCAGAGUACUGCUUGGCCACCACGCAGCAGCUGGAAGAGAAACUCAAGGAGAAGGUCGACGUAAGUCUGACUGAACGAAUCAAUCUGACUGGAGAAAUGGACACAUUCAGCACUGUCAUCUCCAGCAGCAUUCAGCUGUUGGUUCAGGAUCUCGAUGCUGCCUGUGACCCCGCCCUGACAGCCAUGAGCAAGAUGCAGUGGCAGAAUGUGGAGCAUGUUGGUGACCAGAGCCCCUACGUCACCUCUGUCAUUCUUCACAUUAAACAGAACGUCCCCAUCAUCCGUGACAACCUGGCUUCCACGCGGAAAUACUUCACGCAGUUCUGCAUUAAAUUUGCAAACUCCUUCAUUCCCAAGUUCAUCACCCACCUCUUCAAGUGCAAGCCAAUUAGCAUGGUGGGAGCAGAACAGCUGCUGCUGGACACCCACUCGCUGAAGAUGGUCCUGCUCGAUCUGCCUUCCAUCGGCUCUCAGGUGGUGAGGAAAGCCCCAGCCAGUUACACAAAGAUCGUGGUGAAAGGCAUGACCCGAGCGGAGAUGAUCCUCAAGGUCGUGAUGGCCCCUCACGAGCCGUUGGUGGUGUUUGUGGACAACUACAUCAAACUCCUGACGGACUGCAACACAGAAACCUUCCAGAAGAUCCUGGACAUGAAGGGGCUGAAGAGGAGCGAGCAGAGCAGCAUGCUGGAGCUCUUCCGCCAGAGGCUCCCCGCCCCGCCCUCAGGGCCCGAAGGCUCCGGCUCGCUGUCCCUCCUGGCUCCAACUCCAGAACAGGAGUCAUCUCGCAUCCGCAAACUGGAGAAGCUAAUUAAAAAGAGACUGUAGGAGCGUCCAAGGGGCACUUUUCCCCCUGGCCAGUGACCCCCCCCCCACCAGCACCCAGAUCCCCGGAAGCCCCCCACCUCUCCUGUGCUUCCCCGACUCUCAGAUCAUCAGUCUUGAAACUUCCUGGGGCAUUUGGGUCAUUCACAUGUUUCUCCCACGUCCUGUCUUAGUUCCUGUCCUAAUCGGAGAAGGCGGGUAACAGCCAGAUUAUAAAAAGGCAGUCGAGAUGGUCCCUGGUUCCUGCAGCAGCGGCAGCUGGGGUGAAGGUUCCGUGUGCUUCACUUGCUGUCCCGGGCUGCUCCCGACUGGUCCAGUUGUCGCUGACUCUGUAGCCUCACCCCCGCAGUCACACCCUCUGGCAUGGGGUCCUGUUCCUUUCCAUGCUUCUAUCCCAGCACCGUGGGUGAGAAAGCCUGGAACUCACCCCUUCCUCCACCUGCAGCUGUGUGAGGUUAAGAGAUGUCCUCUGGGCUUGGCUCUAGGGCCCAAGUGAUGAAGUGGAAGAUUACAGGUGUGACGGAAGAAAGAGGUGUGGCCUUUAGCUAAGCCCUAGUAGGAAAAGCUGGCUAAAUAAGAAAAGCGCUGGAAGGGCAGGGAAGGGGCUGGGGGGGGGGCACCUGGGCAGCUCAGUCGAUAGAUUUCACUCUGCGCAGAUAGCCAUGGUGUGGCUCUGGUAAAGUUAUCCAGCCUGAGCUAAUUGAGGUUAACAUUCUCUUCCCACUCUUGAAAGAAGGGGUGAUGGGCCCAUCUCCAAACAGCCACUUCAGCCAUCUGUCCUCGGCCUGGGAGCUGGAAACCCAGUGGACUCGCACACCUGGUUCUUGUCACUCUCAGUGUUUACAGAUCCACACUUCUCUUUGUGUUUCAUUCACGAGGAGUCAUUUUCUGGAAGUCUCCAUAAUGGCAUUGAGAUGUCAAGCUGCUGUUUUGCCCCCUGGGUGGUGGUCACAGCCAGGGAAGUUGCUUUCUUGAUUUAUUACACUGUCAGUAGUCUCCAAGGAGCCAGCAGAAGUCAGUAGGAGUUACGUUAAGUGUCUCGUUGAUGGGCGCUGCAUGCCCUGUGUGCGUCCUGUACAGACAGAGCAUGUUUCUCAUCUGGGGGGUCUGCAUCAGAAUCACCUGGGGCUCUUUUUUUUUUUUUUUUACAAGUACAGAUGCAUGGAGAUUGUGAAUCAGUUAAGUCUGGAGUGGGGCCCAGCAUCUAGGUUUAAAAGUUCCAUAGGUGAUUAUAAUGCUUACUUCUUGUGAAGAACCAUUGUAACAGAAAUUUGCUUUAUUGAAGGGUUCCUAUUGCACAUUUUCAUAAAUGUAUAUUUUUUCUGACUCUAAGCAAGUGUAAUUACUGUAUAAUUGAGCUGGUACCCAAAUGGUAAAGAUUUUUUUUUUUUGCUGAUAGCCAGCAGCUUGAGUUUUGAAUUUGUGUUGGUGGUAGGGACCAUGGCAGAAAUCAUGCUGUCCCCAUACUGACUAGGAUUCUUCUUGUUUUGAUGAUCAAGCCCCAAACAGAAGGUUUAUUUAUUACUGUCACUUUGAAAUAAUAUAUAUAAAGGAGCACUCAUUGAUAAAAACAGUAGCUAACAACUCUGUUAUUCAGCUAAAUUAUAUAGAUACUGUACCGGUUCCUUCCCUCCGCUUUCUCUAGCCCCUUAAAAAAAAAAAAAAAAAAAAAACUUAAAGUCACCUUAUGUGGUUAAAAUAAAUAUUCGUAAUUUAUAAUUGAUAAAGAGUUCACUGCUGUUUUUACUCUGGACAGACUACCUGAUUGCUAGUUAGAGGUGCCCAGGCUGGAGAAAGUUCUGUUUGGAUCAUAACAGGGAAACGGGAACCACCAUGGACGGGGUGUUUUGACCUCCAGAUUCAGUUCUGGAAUUGAAGCUAACUGUUGCCACGCCUCCCUCUCUUGAAGAACAAAGACCCAGUACCUGGGACUUUCCCAGGAAAGGGCGCUGACUUUCUCAUGCCUCGGGCAGCUCCUCGGUGCAGGUGGAACAGGACGGAAAGCAGACAUCCAAGGACCAAUGAUGUAUUUCCUCACUGUUGACAGAAAACAGAACAGGCUAUGGGAAAGAAUUAGCGAGCCGGUGAAGCCCGUGAAGCCCGGGCUCCCCUCUCGGCGUCUGCCCUUCUGCCUGGUGGAGAUGCGCCCAUUCCCUGACAGCACGAAACCGGAACGUGAUGUUCAUCAGCAAGGUCCCAGCAUGUCCAGCAGUGGUGGAAACCCUCUGUAAAUAGCCUGCUUCUCCAUGUGACUGCCAGAGGCCUUCUGUCCUGUGCACACUCACCACUUCAAUAGGGUAGCCAGAAAUCAAUCUGAUGAGAAAAGAAACAUUUCCGUAUACCCCACCCAGAAGAACGCUGCCAGAUGGUUGACCUGCCAGGUUCUCUUCCUUCUCACAUACAUAACCAGGUCUGCUGCCUGGGAUAUCCGACUUACUCAAGCGUUUUAAAAGACUCUCCAUCCUCUGUUCCCCUUGCCCCGGCAGCUGCUAUUUCCGUAGCAUUUAGGGAUAAACCUGCAGACACUUGAGAAAAGAGCUUCCUCCCUCCCCGGUGGUGUUGGCUGGACUGCCUGUUGCGGAAAAUGUGGCACAUUUCCUCUGAAUGCAAAUGAGAAGGAUUGCCAAAGGUUGCUUUCCAAAAAACAUGUCUUUAGAAAUGGUGUCCGGUGUCCACAGAACUGAUUUCAACUGGCCAGUCCUGGCAGGGGCAAAAUUCUUGCCUGCACUCUUUUUUUUUUUUUUGGACCUUCAAUGCCCAGAAAAUGCUAAGCGAGAUUAUCUUGGGACAGGCAGACCUAACAGGGAAGCCAGAAGUUCACCAGCUAUUCGGAUUACUUCACAGUUGCCUUUCAAAGAUGUUCAGACCUUUCCCAAGGCCCGCGGAAUCCCUGUAAUCAGCUGAGAAGUACCCGCCUGGUUCUUCCAAUCCCCUUUGGGGAUAUUGAUACAGAGAAUGCUGGGCGAUAAGAGUGAUUCAGAGGAAAAGCUGUGUAAAUGCUUUGUCCCCUAGGAAUGUUUAUCACUUAAUCUGAGAGCUCUGGUAGCUUCUGCUCAGCAAUCAAAUAGAAUUUGCACAAUCGCCGGUGCCUCCUCCUGUUUGGGGUAAUUCUUCAACACGUGAGAAAUUAAGAACAGCUUCUCAACAAAACUUCCCUUUACUUCUGGGGCCAUGAGAAGUAUUUACCAAGUAGGCUGCAACUUUCAGGGGCACCAGGUGAGACGGUGGAGAGAAACUCCAGCUUCUUCUGCUCGGUUGCUUUGUGCUGAUGGAAAAGGAAGGCCCUUCUCAAGCAGAGGGGAAGCGCACCACCUGCUGAAGAGACCGCAUUCCACGGAAUUCUUCACAGACUAAAGUCCUGCGAUUGGGCUUCCUGGGGCAGCCACCGAAGCGCUUUAGCAGGCAAAUGGAAAAAUGGCCAGUGUUGUGUAAAGAAAACAUGAGUGCACACACAGAGACACCCCCUCUCCCAACCUCAUACCCACGCCCUGCUGCAACCCUGGCACUGCUCUCAACGGAUCCCAAGUGUUGGCCCCUCGGCUGGCUGGCUCGCUCAGUCGUCAGAGAAGGGUGCUGACGGGCCUUAUGGUCCCAGGGGAUUAAGCCCUGGGCCAUAGUUGCAGCCCAGCUACUGUCUGGCAUGCAAAGAAUACCUGAUUGUGAGAUCCAGGCCAUUCCAUGCUAUUGGGUGGGGAGGGAACUGAGUAUUUACUGCCUCCUGGAUAGUUAAGAGACCUCAUUGGACCAAAACCCCUGUUAAGUGGGUAUGAUUUUAUGGCUGUGGACCUGGAAGCCUGGGGGGCAAAUGAUGUGCCCAAGGCUGUGUGGCUCGUGAGUAGCAGAGCCAGGACUGGUGUCGUCCAUGCUCUUUGCACUUCACAAGUGGUUUUCAAAUUUAUGAGACCCAGGCUUUACAUGGGACUCUCACUCUACGAAUAGAUAAAAGUAUUUUAUUAAUAUAUUU